rnacentral:rRNA from 1 species
ACUCAAAUGAAUAGACGGGGGCUCACACAAGCGGUGGAGCAUGUUGCUUAAUUCGAGGCAACGCGAAGAACCUUACCUGGGUUUGACAUGGCUGGAUUAACUCCUGGAAACAGGAGCCACGCCCGCAAGGGUGGAACAGUCACAGGUGCUGCAUGGCUGUCGUCAGCUCGUGCUGUGAAGUGUCGGGUUAAGUCCUCUAACGAGCGCAACCCCUAUCGUUAGUUGCUCACGGGUAAUGCCGAGUACUCUAGCGAGACUGCCGUUGUAAGACGGAGGAAGGCGGGGAUGACGUCAAGUCCUCAUGGCCCUUACAUCCAGGGAUGCAAACGUGCUACAAUGGUGCGCACAAAGCGACGCGAGGCCGCGAGGCGGAGCAAAUCGCAAAAAACGCACCCCAGUUCGGAUUGCAGGCUGCAAUUCGCCUGCAUGAAGUCGGAAUCGCUAGUAAUCGGAGAUCAGCUACGCUCCGGUGAAUAAGUUCCUGAGCCUUGUACACACCGCCCGU